rfam:Deltaproteobacteria bacterium CG2_30_43_15 cg2_3.0_scaffold_1921_c, whole genome shotgun sequence.
CAAGUCUGGUCUGGGCAAAGGUUAGCCACCAGUCCAGCACCAAAUCCCACGCAUAGGGAGGUAACAAGCUAUGUGAAGCUGGGAGGCGGGAGGUAUCGGGCUGCAACGAAAGUGAAUGUAUUGAGCCCCGAAAUAACCAGCGUGUCGGAGGCCGAUGCCCUUCAUAUGGCAGUAGGCAGAAGUCUCUUAACCGAUAGGGCGAGGUUG